UGCAGCUAUGAAAAAGAAAGCAGAAGACCUCUGCGUGCUGAUUUGGAAGGUCUUCUGGGGUACAUUGUUAAUGAAAAAGCAAGGUGCAGAACUGGUGUAUAAUAUGCUACCUUGAGUGUAAGAAAGGGCAGGAGAGAAAAAUGUAGAUUCGUGUUUGCACCAGUACAAGGAAGACUGGAGGGAUGAACAAGAAGCUAAUAGAGGCCGGGCCAGGUGCAGUGGCUCACGCCUGUAAUCCCAGCACUUUGGGAGGCCGAGGGAGUUGCUGCUGGCGUGGAGUAAGCGGGAGCCAGGGAGGCUGGUCAACACCUGCGUGCACAGGACAGACCCACAGCAAAGAAUCUUCCACCCACGGGCUGGGGUUGGGGCACCUGUUCCGGGGAAGCCCAAGUCCCUCUGUGACAGCCUUUCCCUCAUGCUCAGACAACAGCAAGAAGCCAAUUAAGAGCUGCCAAGGUUGAGUUUCUUUUGGGUGCCAGUCACUGGGUCAGGUAUUCCACAUUCCUCCAUUAGACUCUUCCAAAGGGCCUGGCGAGACAGCCAAUACGGUUCGGCUGUGUCCCCACCCAAAUCCCAUCUUGAGUUGUAGCUCCCGUAAUUUCCCCAUGUUGUGGGAGGGACCCUGUGGGAGGUAAUUGAAUCACGGAGGUGGUUUCCCCCACACUGUUCUCGUGGUAGUGAAUAAAUCUCACGAGAUCUGA